rnacentral:rRNA from 1 species
UACGUAGGGGGCAAGCGUUAUCCGGAUUUACUGGGUGUAAAGGGAGCGUAGACGGCUAAUCAAGUCAGAAGUGAAAACCCAGGGCUCAACCUUGGGACUGCUUUUGAAACUGAGUAGCUAGAGUGCAGGAGAGGAGAAUGGAAUUCCUAGUGUAGCGGUGAAAUGCGUAGAGAUUAGGAAGAACACCAGUGGCGAAGGCGAUUCUCUGGACUGUAACUGACGCUGAGGCUCGAAAGCGUGGGGAGCAAACAGG